rnacentral:rRNA from 1 species
AGGACGAACGCUGGCGGCGUGCUUAACACAUGCAAGUCGAGCGGAAAGGCCCUUCGGGGUACUCGAGCGGCGAACGGGUGAGUAACACGUGAGUAAUCUGCCCCUAGCUCUGGGAUAGCUCCGGGAAACCGGGAUUAAUACCGGAUACGACCACCUUAGACAUCUUUUGUGGUGGAAAGAAUUUCGGCUAGGGAUGAGCUCGCGGCCUAUCAGCUUGUUGGUGGGUAACGGCCUACCAAGGCGACGACGGGUAGCCGGCCUGAGAGGGCGACCGGCCACACUGGGACUGAGACACGGCCCAGACUCCUACGGGAGGCAGCAGUGGGGAAUAUUGCGCAAUGGGCGAAAGCCUGACGCAGCGACGCCGCGUGGGGGAUGAAGGCCUUCGGGUUGUAAACCCCUUUCAGCAGGGACGAAGCGAAAGUGACGGUACCUGCAGAAGAAGCGCCGGCUAACUACGUGCCAGCAGCCGC